CCUACGGGAGGCAGCAGUGGGGAAUCUUGCGCAAUGGCCGAAAGGCUGACGCAGCGACGCCGCGUGUGGGAUGAAGGUCUUCGGAUUGUAAACCACUGUCGGGGGGGACGAAAUCUUGACGGUACCCCCAAAGGAAGCACCGGCUAACUCUGUGCCAGCAGCCGCGGUAAUACAGAGGGUGCGAGCGUUGUCCGGAAUCACUGGGCGUAGAGGGCGCGUAGGCGGCCUGGUAAGUCGGGGGUGAAACGCUGCGGCUCAACCGCAGCACUGCCUUCGAGACUGUCAGGCUUGAGCACGGUAGAGGCUGGUGGAAUUCCCGGUGUAGCGGUGGAAUGCGUAGAGAUCGGGAAGAACAUCGGUGGCGAAGGCGGCCAGCUGGGCCGUUGCUGACGCUGAGGCGCGACAGCGUGGGGAGCAAACAGGACUAGAUACCCUGGUAGUCCACGCCCUAAACGAUGCUCACUAGGUGUUGGGGAAGCGAUUCCUUGGUACCGUAGCUAACGCGUGAAGUGAGCCGCCUGGGGAGUACGGCCGCAAGGUUAAAACUCAAAGGAAUUGACGGA
rnacentral:rRNA from 1 species